CCUUUUUUUUUUUUUUUUUCUAAAGAUGUUACCACGUGUUCUCUAUACUUUCCUCAAACCACAAGCACACACACACUUGUGCAAAUGUUGCGUCCCAACUGAUAAAAUACAUGAAGAAAAGUAGCAGGUAAGAACAGAUAAUGUGAUUCAUUUAAAUUACAUAAUUUCCUCAUUUGAUCUAGGCAACAAAGAUAAUAAACGGAUGUCAAACCUUUCCAGAUCCUGAACA
rnacentral:misc_RNA from 1 species